rnacentral:rRNA from 1 species
GUAGGCMGCAAGCGUUGUUCGGAGUUACUGGGCGUAAAGGGUGUGUAGGCGGUUCCUUAAGUUUGCUGUGAAAUCUCCCGGCUUAACCGGGAGGGUGCGGUGAAUACUGAGGGACUAGAGUACGGGAGAGGAAAGUGGAAUUCCUGGUGUAGCGGUGAAAUGCGUAGAUAUCAGGAGGAACACCGGUGGUGUAGACGGCUUUCUGGACCGUAACUGACGCUGAGACACGAAAGCGUGGGUAGCAAACAGGAUUAGAUACCCUGGUAGUCCACGCCCUAAACGAUGCAUAUUUGGUGUGGGCAGUUCAUUCUGUCCGUGCCGGAGCUAACGCGUUAAAUAUGCCGCCUGGGGAGUACAGUCGCAAGGCUG